CUUUGGCAUUGAGAGUGGGGUAACUUAUAGUCCAGACCUUUCAAUCCUGAGCCUUUGACAUAUCCGAGCCCACCUAUAAGAAAGAUGACAUUGGCAAUCAGAGUGGGGUAGCUCAUGAUCCAGAGCUUUCAAUGCCGAGGAUUUGGCUUAUCCGAACCCACCCGUAAGAAAGAUGACAUUGACAUUCAGAAUGGGGUAGCUCAUGGUCCAGAGCUUUCAAUGCCGAGGAUUUGGCUUAUCCGAACCCACCUGUAAUAAAGAUAACAUUGGCAUUGAGAGUGGGGUAACUCAUAGUCCAGAGCUUUCAAUGCUGAGGCUUUGACUUAUCCGAGUCCACCUGUAAGAUAGAUAACAUUGGAGAUAUCUGCCGCAGUGGCCAACUAAACGAAGGAUCACCUAGGAAGAAGGCUUAUUAAUAUUAUUAGCAUUCUGGAGAGCACCGAGUUACAGUUUACUUCAGUCCCUGAAGAAGACAACGAAACCAGAAAGAGUCCAAUGGGCUAUAAAGAAGAUGGGCAAAGAGCUCCAGUGUGUUAGGAUGGAGAACCAUGAGGUUUGAUGGAAUUCAGGGGAUAAUCAAAUAGCA